rnacentral:rRNA from 1 species
AUGGAGAUGGAGAGCGCGGCGACCUGCGAUCGAUCCCGAUGGUGCCGCGCGGCGGGGCGCUCUUCUGGCCGGCGGCGGUGCAGGAGCAGCCGAGGGCGCUCUCCCUCUGCCCCGUCGUCAGCCGGGUCGCAUCCGACGCGCUCCACCACCUCCGGCAGGCCCUCGCGGUGCCGUCGAGGGACUCGCACUCUUCUUCGACGACCUCCUCUCGUAUGCCCACGCGCGGGAUGCUUGGAUGAAAGCCAUCUAGCGCGCCCCUCUGCCCAGUCCGGGUCACAUACUUCAAGAUGUGCUCAUGGUUUGCUGAUGUGCUCCCCUACCUCGCCCGCCUCCCAAGCUGCUCGAGGACCACUACGCCGGCGCCCGGGCCGCGCUUGGGCUCCGCCUCCUGGGCUCUCAGGGCGCGGGCGUCGUGCUCUUCUGCCUGUUCCCCACCGCCAGCUGCGGCGAGGCCUGCCUCCCGGCCAUCAAUUUCUACGCCUUGCUUGCGGCACUGAAUAA